UUGGAGGGCAAGUCUGGUGCCAGCAGCCGCGGUAAUUCCAGCUCCAAUAGCGUAUAUUAAAGUUGUUGCAGUUAAAAAGCUCGUAGUUGAAUUUCGGGAUCAAUGUUUCGGUCAUGCCGUUGGUAUGUACUGAUAUUAUUGAUUUCUCACCUUCUAAAGAACCGUAAUGCCAUUAAUUUGGUGUCACGGGGAAUUAGGACUGUUACCUUGAAAAAAUUAGAGUGCUUAAAGCAGGCUCACGCUUGAAUACAUUAGCAUGGAAUAAUGAAAUAGGACAUCCGAUUCUAUUUUGUUGGUUUCUAGGAUCGAUGUAAUGAUUAAUAGGGAUAGUUGGGGGCAUUAGUAUUCAAUUGUCAGAGGUGAAAUUCUUGGAUUUAUUGAAGACUAACUACUGCGAAAGCAUUUGCCAAGGAUGUUUUCAUUAAUCAAGAACGAAAGUUAGGGGAUCGAAGACGAUCAGAUACCGUCGUAGUCUUAACCAUAAACUAUGCCGACUAGGGAUCGGAUGAUGUUAAUUUUUUAAUGACUCAUUCGGCGCCUUACGGGAAAC
rnacentral:rRNA from 1 species